GACGAACGCUGGCGGCGUGCCUAAUACAUGCAAGUCGAACGCAGUGGGGACGGGUGAGUAACACGUGGGUAACCUCCCAUCAGAGGGGAUAACCCUUGGAAACAGGUGCUAAACCGAUACUGAUUGAUGGACUCGCGGUGCAUUAGCUAGUUGGUGGGGUAACGGCUAACCAAGGCCACGAUGCAUAGCCGGCCUGAGAGGGUGAUCGGCCACACUGGAACUGAGACACGACCCAGACUCCUACGGGAGGCAGCAGUAGGGAAUAUUCGGCAAUGGACGAAAGUCUGACCGAGCAACGCCGCGUGAGUGAAGAAGGUUUUCGGAUCGUAAAGCUCUGUUGUUAGAGAAGCGGUAUCUAACGAGAAAGCAACGGCUAACUACGUGCCAGCAGCCGCGGUAAUUC
rnacentral:rRNA from 1 species